CAGUCGCCGCGGUAAUACGAAGGGGGCUAGCGUUGCUCGGAAUUACUGGGCGUAAAGGGAGCAUAGGCGGAUCGUUAAGUUGGGGGUGAAAGCCCGGGGCUCAACCUCGGAAUUGCCUUCAAUACUGGCGAUCUUGAGUAUGGAAGAGGUAUGUGGAACUCCGAGUGUAGAGGUGAAAUUCGUAGAUAUUCGGAAGAACACCAGUGGCGAAGGCGACAUACUGGUCCAUUACUGACGCUGAGGCUCGAAAGCGUGGGGAGCAAACAGGAUUAGAUACCCGAGUAGUCCCUGUCUCUUAUAC
rnacentral:rRNA from 1 species